AUGGCAGAACCCAGCGCAAUGCCAAAUAUACGGUGCGAGAUCGAGAACGUAGUGCUCAACUGUGGCUUCUUCGGAGGAAGAUGAUGAGACAAUGGGCGGUUUGCGACAGGAGCUGACAGGGGGCGACUUGUGUGUAGGGAUCGGUAUCCAGAUGGAGGCAUCUUCUCUCGCAGAGCUCCUAAGGGAGAAGAUACAUAG
rnacentral:rRNA from 1 species